rnacentral:rRNA from 1 species
AUAUUGGUCAAUGGACGCAAGUCUGAACCAGCCAUGCCGCGUGAAGGAUGAAGGUCCUCUGGAUUGUAAACUUCUUUUAUAUGGGACGAAACCUCUUUUUCUAAAGAGACUGACGGUACCAUAGGAAUAAGCACCGGCUAACUCCGUGCCAGCAGCCGCGGUAAUACGGAGGGUGCAAGCGUUAUCCGGAUUCACUGGGUUUAAAGGGUGCGUAGGAGGGUAGGUAAGUCAGUGGUGAAAUCUCCGGGCUCAACUCGGAAACUGCCGUUGAUACUAUCUAUCUUGAAUACCGUGGAGGUGAGCGGAAUAUGUCAUGUAGCGGUGAAAUGCUUAGAUAUGACAUAGAACACCAAUUGCGAAGGCAGCUCAUUACACGAAUAUUGACUCUGAGGCACGAAAGCGUGGAGAUCAAACAGG